GAUGAACGCUGACAGCAUGCUUAACACAUGCAAGUCUACUUGAACUUCGGUUUGGGUGGCGGACGGGUGAGUAACGCGUAAAGAACUUGCCUCACAGAUAGGGACAACAUUUGGAAACGAGUGCUAAUACCUGAUAUUAUGAUCUUAAGGCAGCCUAGAAUUAUGAAAGCUAUAUGCACUGUGAGAGAGCUUUGCGUCCCAUUAGCUAGUUGGAGAGGUAACGGCUCACCAAGGCGAUGAUGGGUAGCCGGCCUGAGAGGGUGAUCGGCCACAAGGGGACUGAGACACGGCCCUUACUCCUGCGGGAGGCAGCAGUGGGGAAUAUUGGACAAUGGACCAAGAGUCUGAUCCAGCAAUUCUGUGUGCACGAUGAAGUUUUUCGGAAUGUAAAGUGCUUUCAGUUGGGAAGAAAAAAAUGACGGUACCAACAGAAGAAGUGACGGCUAAAUACGUG
rnacentral:rRNA from 1 species